rnacentral:rRNA from 1 species
UACAGGGGGUGCAAACGUUGCUCGGAAUUACUGGGCUUAAAGCGCACGUAGGCGGCAUCGUAAGUGUCCGGUGAAAUCCCACGGCUCACCCGUGGAACUGCCUGGCAGACUGCGAUGCUCGAGUGUGGUAGGGGAGAGCGGAACUCCUGGUGGAGCGGUGAAAUGCGUAGAUAUCAGGAGGAACACCGAUGGCGAAGGCGGCUCUCUGGUCCACAACUGACGCUGAGGUGCGAAAGCUAGGGGAGCAAACGGG